rnacentral:lncRNA from 1 species
GUGGAUAUUGAGGGAGAAACAGAAAAAUCCAAGACAAUCCCCUGUGGAAGAAAAUUAUCCAACCCCAAACUCAACUGAACUCAAAGCGCUGAACAGCGCAUCAGUUAAGACCUGUCAAAUAUAAUCACACAAUCUAAUAGUUUUAAAUAUGCAAAAUAAAGA